rnacentral:tRNA from 1 species
GGGCGUAUGGCUCAGUUGGUUAGAGCGCAGCCUUCACACGGCUGAGGUCACAGGUUCGAGUCCUGUUACGCCCACCC